CAGACUGCUGCCACGCCGGUUGGCUAGGUCGCUCUGACUAUCAUCUGACCUGAACUACUACCAUCUUCAGGAGUCCAUCUGUGUCACGGGCCAUGAAGAUACAGUCCAAGUCCCUGAGGCCAAGCAAACACUUUAAAGAGAACAAUAUGCGUGAAGACCCAGAGAAGGCAGAAGCAUGCUGUAUUUGAAGAACUAAAGAGUGCUGAGGAUAACUGGAACAUGGAACUCAGAGGGUGGAUGGAAAUACUAGGAAAAAUAGGGCUAUCUCACAAGGGUCUUGUAAGCUGUGCUGAGAAUUCAACAUUUUGCUAAGGGCAAGAAGAAGCUAUUGGAGUAUUUAAGUUAGAAAGGAACAUAAUUACUUUUGAAUUUUUUGAACACUCAGUUUCAUUAUGGAAAAGAAAAUGAAUGAAUCAGAAUUGGAGACAGAUAGAUGAGGUAGCAGAAGCAGGAGGAGAGUUGGAGAUUUCUUGAAAUACAAUAGGAGCAAGAAACAAAUUUUAAAGUGAUCUUUGGAGAAAGAAAUGCCAUGUAGUGUUUGGGUGAGAGAGAUGGUGCUUGAGAGACUUUACUUAUUUGUUUUUUUGGUUUUUUUUUUUUUUUGCUCCUACAAGGCUGGAAGUUAGCAUUAUCUAAAAGUGACUUUGUAGAUUUGUAAGUACCUAACAUCUUGAUGUAGAGAUUAUUUUCCUGGCUGUGAAUCUAGGCUCUGAUGCUUGUCCAGGGCUUGAUCUUCAGCAGGCUUUUCUCAUUUCUAUCUCAGUUUUCCUUACAUCAUUGGGACAAUGGCUCCUAAUCAGAAGUUUAUUGUGAUGGUAGGUUGAGAGAUUAUUAAUGAUGAACUUGGAAUCAUGCUGAGUGCAGAGAAGGCUGUGAUACAUGUUAGCCAUUAUGAUUAUUGUUAUUACUCUAUAGUGCAUCUACAGUGGUUCUCAACCUUCUAAUGCUGUGACUAUUUAAUAUAGUUCCACAGCCAUGAGGCUCUAUUCAUUGCUCUUCAUAACUGUCAAUUUGCUACUGUUAUGAGUUGUAAUGUAAAUAUCCGUGUUUACUGAUGAUUGUAGCUGAACACUGUGAAAGGGUUGUUCAAUCUUCCCAAGUGGUCAUGACCACAGGUUCUAGACAAAGAUGACAAUCUGGCUUCUGCAUAUUUAGAGUAGAACGGGGUAGGUUAUCAAUAAAUGUGUACCAA